UACGUAGGGUGCAAGCGUUGUCCGGAAUUAUUGGGCGUAAAGAGCUCGUAGGCGGUUUGUCGCGUCUGCUGUGAAAACUCGGGGCUUAACCUCGGGCCUGCAGUGGGUACGGGCAGACUGGAGUGCGGUAGGGGAGAAUGGAAUUCCUGGUGUAGCGGUGGAAUGCGCAGAUAUCAGGAGGAACACCGAUGGCGAAGGCGCACAUCUGGCCCGAUACUGACGCUGAGGCGCGAAAGCUAGGGGAGCAAACGGG
rnacentral:rRNA from 1 species